AAGCGAAAAGGAAAUUUGGUAUAGACCAGGUAGCUCAAAUGGUGGAGUAGCCGACAUGUCAUCGGAAGGUUCUGGGUUCGAGUCCCAGUCCUAGCUAUCUGAAUUUUUUCUCGCAUAUUCUAUAAACUCUCAUUAAGAAGGUCCUUUCCAAUUCCUUUCUUCCCCAAUUAUCCUGUUACGUAAAUAUUGGAACGCUUUACGUAAUAAUUACCGUAACUCCUCUUAUUUCCCGCUUCACAGCAUUAUUUAAUUU